AUUGAACGCUGGCGGCAGGCCUAACACAUGCAAGUCGAACGAGUGGCGGACGUGUUAGUAAUGUCUGGGAAUCUGCCCGAUGGAGGGGGUUAACUACCGGAAACGGUAGCUAAUACCGCAUACCAUCGGAUGUGCCCAGAUGGGAUUAGCUAGUAGGUGGGGUAAAGGCUCACCAAGGCGCCGAUCCCUAGCUGGUCUGCGAGGAUGACCAGCCACACUGGAACUGAGAAACGGUCCAGAAUCCUACGGGAGGCAGCAGUGGGGAAUAUUGCACAAUGGGCGAAAGCCUGAUGCAGCCAUGCCGCGUGUAUGAAGAAGGCCUUCGGGUUGUAAAGGACUUUCAGCGAGGAGGCGUUACUCGCAGAAGAAGCACCGGCUAACUCCGUGCCAGCAGCCGCGGUAAUAC
rnacentral:rRNA from 1 species